AAGUGAGCCUCUUAUGGGCAAUAUAUAGUUGUGUCUUGUUUUUGUUGUCUGUUUGUCUGUUUGUUUUAUUCAUUCAGCCACUCUGUCUUUUGACUGGAGAGUUUAAUCCAUCUACAUUCAAGCUUCCCUUUUUGGCUCUUGAUGCCUCUUUCCUACAGACAUGAGUGCACAGAAAAAGCCAAGCCCAGGAUGUUCUUCUCAGUGAGUGAGUGUUUUGGAAGAGUCUGGAACUGAGAAGAGCCCCUGGGGCACUGCCCCAGGGAAUCUGUCCCCACCCUUGUUGGUCCACAGUUACAGUUGCCCUUGCCCUGACAUGAAGUAAAACAAUUCUAUCUAUUCAGAAGUGUAUCCCCAGUACUUUGCCCAGUAUUUGACACAUAAU
rnacentral:lncRNA from 10 species